GAUCCUGGCUCAGGAUGAACGCUGGCGGCGUGCCUAACACAUGCAAGUCGAGCGGGAAAUACUUGAUUGAAACUUCGGUCGAUUGAUAGUAUGGAGAGCGGCGGACGGGUGAGUAACGCGUAGGCAACCUGCCUUAUGCAGAGGGAUAGCCAUUGGAAACGAUGAUUAAAACCUCAUAAUACCAAGAGUUCACAUGUACUUUUGGCCAAAGAUUUAUCGGCAUAAGAUGGG
rnacentral:rRNA from 1 species